UACGGAGGAUCCAAGCGUUAUCCGGAUUUAUUGGGUUUAAAGGGUGCGUAGGCGGCCUGUUAAGUCAGGGGUGAAAUUUUUCGGCUCAACCGGAAGCUUGCCUUUGAUACUGAUGGGCUUGAUUACACUUGAGGUAGGCGGAAUGUGACAAGUAGCGGUGACAUGCGUAGAUAUGUCACAGAACACCAAUUGCGAAGGCAGCUUACUUUGGUGUUAAUGCCGCUGAGGCUCGUAAGCGUGGGGAUCAAUCUGG
rnacentral:rRNA from 1 species